AACGAACGCUGGCGGCAUGCCUAACACAUGCAAGUCGAACGAGAUCUUCGGGUCUAGUGGCGCACGGGUGCGUAACGCGUGGGAAUCUGCCCUUUGGUUCGGAAUAACAGUUGGAAACGACUGCUAAUACCGGAUGAUGACGAAAGUCCAAAGAUUUAUCGCCAGAGGAUGAGCCCGCCUAGGAUUAGCUAGUUGGUGUGGUAAAGGCGCACCAAGGCGACGAUCCUUAGCUGGUCUGAGAGGAUGAUCAGCCACACUGGGACUCAGACACGGCCCAGACUCCUACGGGAGGCAGCAGUGGGGAAUAUUGGACAAUGGGCGAAAGCCUGAUCCAGCAAUGCCGCGUGAGUGAUGAAGGCCUUAGGGUUGUAAAGCUCUUUUACCCGGGAUGAUAAUGACAGUACCGGGAGAAUAAGCUCCGGCUAACUCCGUGCCAGCCGCCGCAGUAA
rnacentral:rRNA from 1 species